rnacentral:tRNA from 1 species
ACCCCCUUAGCUCAGCGAAUAGAGCGUCGGCCUCCGGAGCCGAAAGUCGCAGGUUUGAAUCCUGCAGGGGGUGCCA